rnacentral:rRNA from 1 species
GACGAACGCUGGCGGCGUGCCUAAUACAUGCAAGUCGAACGCACAGUUUAUACCGUAGCUCGCUACACCAUAGACUGUGAGUUGCGAACGGGUGAGUAACGCGUAGGUAACCUGCCUGGUAGCGGGGGAUAACUAUUGGAAACGAUAGCUAAUACCGCAUAAUAUUCAUUAUUGCAUGAUAAUUAAUUGAAAGGUGCAAUUGCACCACUACCAGAUGGACCUGCGUUGUAUUAGCUAGUAGGUGAGGUAACGGCUCACCUAGGCGACGAAUCAUAGCCGACCCGGGAAGGGGAACGGCCAAACUGGGACUGAGACACGGCCCAGACUCCUACGGGAGGCAGCAGGAGGGAAUCUUUGGCAAAGGACGAAAGUCUGAACGAGCAACGCCGCGGGAGGGAAGAAGGGUUUCGGAUCGUAAAGCUCUGUUGUAAGAGAAGAAAGGGAGUGAGAGUGGAAAGUUCACACUGUGACGGUAGCUUACCAGAAAGGGACGGCUAACUACGUG